UGGGGAAUUUUGGACAAUGGGGGCAACCCUGAUCCAGCAAUGCCGCGUGUGUGAAGAAGGCCUUCGGGUUGUAAAGCACUUUUGUCCGGAAAGAAAUCCCUUGCCCUAAUACGGCGGGGGGAUGACGGUACCGGAAGAAUAAGCACCGGCUAACUACGUGCCAGCAGCCGCGGUAAUACGUAGGGUGCGAGCGUUAAUCGGAAUUACUGGGCGUAAAGCGUGCGCAGGCGGUUUUGUAAGACAGGCGUGAAAUCCCCGAGCUCAACUUGGGAAUGGCGCUUGUGACUGCAAGGCUAGAGUAUGUCAGAGGGGGGUAGAAUUCCACGUGUAGCAGUGAAAUGCGUAGAGAUGUGGAGGAAUACCGAUGGCGAAGGCAGCCCCCUGGGACGUCACUGACGCUCAUGCACGGAAGCGUGGGGAGCAAACAGGAUUAGAUACCCUGGUAGUCCACGCCCUAAACGAUGUCAACUAGUUGUUGGGGAUUCAUUUCUUCAGUAACGUAGCUAACGCGUGAAGUUGACCGCCUGGGGAGUACGGUCGCAAGAUUA
rnacentral:rRNA from 1 species